rnacentral:misc_RNA from 1 species
CGCCAGAGCAAUGCCACACGAAGAAAGAGGCGCUCCAGCCUUUUUGACAUGGUUCCAGACAUGGCAACUGAACCCCAGACAGUUCCAGAAGAACAGGAGUUGCCAUCUUUUCAGUCAGGAGAAAUGGAUAAUGCAGAUGCGCUGCCUUCACUGAACCUCUCCCUGAGGCCAGAAUAUGUACCCAUGGACACAGCAUCUGAAGAACAAGUGAAAGAACAUGAUGAAACAGUGAUAGAUUCCAGUGAAUCCAAACAAACUGUUCCAAAAUCAAGUGAAUUCAGUCCAAUUGUCCCUCAGUUAAGUGAAUUCCCACAAUUUGUUCCUGGAUUCUAUCCAGCUUAUGUGCCA